GCUUGUCUCAAAGAUUAAGCCAUGCAUGUCUUAGUGUAAAUAACUCUUAUGAAACUGCGAAUGGCUCAUUAAAUCAGUUAUCGUUUAUUUGAUAGUACCUUACUACAUGGAUAACCGUGGUAAUUCUAGAGCUAAUACAUGCUAAAAACCUCGACUUCGGAAGGGGUGUAUUUAUUAGAUAAAAAACCAAUGCCCUUCGGGGCUCCUUGGUGAAUCAUAAUAACUUAACGAAUCGCAUGGCCUUGCGCCGGCGAUGGUUCAUUCAAAUUUCUGCCCUAUCAACUUUCGAUGGUAGGAUAGUGGCCUACCAUGGUAUCAACGGGUAACGGGGAAUUAGGGUUCGACUCCGGAGAGGGAGCCUGAGAAACGGCUACCACAUCCAAGGAAGGCAGCAGG
rnacentral:rRNA from 1 species